rnacentral:rRNA from 1 species
GACGAACGCUGGCGGCGUGCCUAACACAUGCAAGUCGAGCGAUGAAGUUUCCUUCGGGAAACGGAUUAGCGGCGGACGGGUGAGUAACACGUGGGUAACCUGCCCUAUAGAGGGGGAUAGCCUUCCGAAAGGAAGAUUAAUACCCCAUAAAAUCCUAGUAUCGCAUGGUACAAGGGUUAAAGGAGCAAUCCGCUAUAGAAUGGACCCGCGGCGCAUUAGCUAGUUGGUGAGGUAACGGCUCACCAAGGCGACGAUGCGUAGCCGACCUGAGAGGGUGAUCGGCCACAUUGGGACUGAGACACGGCCCAGACUCCUACGGGAGACAGCAGUGGGGAAUAUUGCACAAUGGGGGAAACCCUGAUGCAGCAACGCCGCGUGAGUGAUGACGGUCUUCGGAUUGUAAAGCUCUGUCUUUAGGGACGAUAAUGACGGUACCUAAGGAGGAAGCCACGGCUAACUACGUGCCAGCCGCCGCAGUAA